AAAUAUUUCAGCUGUGAAAAGGCUUUAAUUUGCUCACUAGUUCCCCUUCUACGAAGAAUAGAAAAAGCAAGACCUACUUCAGGCAAAUUUAUGAUUCUAACUUUUGGCAAAUGGAGCCACUUCCAUUAAUCUUCCUGUGCAUUUGAACCUUAGCAGGACUCUAUAUAGCAGUCAGCGGCAUGGAUAACGACCCUUCUGCCUGCAAACUCGCUUUUAGAUGAGAACACAAGCUCCUAAGCCGGGAGUGAACUUAGAUCUCUGUCUACUGUGUGGGUUAUGGAGCUCAAGCUCGGCAGCAUGUGACUUUAACUGCCAGCCCCUGAGGAGGAAGAAGCUUCUGCCCGAUUCUCUUUUGCCAUUGGGUGCCCAGCUGUCGGAUGCUCAGCCAUUGGGUGAUCAGCAUUUGUUGAUAAGGCAGAGAACAAAUGGUACUAAUUUCCUCAUGUUAUUUUCCUGACUGAAGAUCAGCUAUGAGAUCACCUGUCUAUCCCCUAAGACUUCCUGAUAUUUUCUGUGUUGACAUAGUGUGCAUUCUAGUUAAGAUGUGUACCUUAAGAUAGAACGUUGCUUUUAUCUCUGAGGUAUGUAGAAAAGAGCAAUUGUUUCAGACGUAUCUCUUGAGCCCAAUAAACUAGUUG